UGCUCCUGCUCUCACCCCACACUCUGGUCUCCUCCUCGACAGGCAGCCUCUCCCUGGUCCUCGUCCCUCAAGAGAGCAGGCUGCCUGUCAGUGCCAUCCUGCAGUGGCAGGUGUCCCACUGUGGGAAGCCUGGGGAUGCAUGCCAUGCAAGGGAGAGGCAUGCCAUGCAAGGGAGAGGCAUCCCUGGAGGACAGGGGGCUCGGGCAGGUCUCGAGCAGGAAGGCAGAGCAGAGCUGGAGGCACCUGCAGCACUGAGGCCUGGGCACCCCAGCCACUAGUUCCAGUUCAGCCCCUGGCAAGCACCUGAAGUGAGCUGUGUGUGUGCUUUCUGUAACCUGGGUGAGGCUGGCCAGGCUGGAGUUCACUGACCUGGCCAAGAAAGGCCGAGGAGAGGCCCAGAGGACAUGUGAGCAGCAUACAGCAGAGGGCAGGAUGGAGAGGGGGUGGGGGAGCUGUGGCCCUGUCCUUCCAGACACCCCCAGGACAUGGCUGAAGCACCAGAGCUUGGAGACCUGGGGUGGCACGCCAGGGCUGGCCAGAGGCUGCGGCUGCAGCUCCAGCUGGUUGUGCAUGACCCCAAGUCUGCUCGUGGUCCUGUGCUGCCCGACCGUCCCUAGGCAGGGCAAGUGAUAGCUUUAGAGGGGAGAAACAUACACUUGCUGUGAGAGCCGGACCAGCCUCUGUGGGUGUGGGCAAGGCGUGAUGGGGUGCAGCAGAGGUUGGGGGAGAGGCAGCACCCACAGGGUCAUCAGGAGGUGUGAGGGGACAAGAAAAGGCGGGGAUCCAAUGGGAGUGGCCCAGAGUGUUGUCCAGAACACACAGACAAGGCUGAGAAGUGUGCCCCGUGGGUCAUGAGGUGGCUGCAGAGCUGUCACUCACCUGCAGAGCUGGGAAGAGAUGUGACGAGAGAGGAGAUGGACUGGCUCUCAGUGGACACAGACCUGGUGGUGGGGAGGGAGGAGCUUCCGUGUGCAGUGAUGGAGCUGGCUAGGAACACAGUAGUCUGCAGCCUGGUGGUACUCGGCUGUCUGGUGGUGAGGUUGGUGGCUGGAGAACUUGGGACGGCUGUCACCCCCAGUGUAGAAGACAGGAGGCCGUGGGUGGGGGUUUGGGUGGUGAGAGAGGUGGACUGGGCGGUGGUGGACUGAGAGGAUGGGACAGAGGAAGUGGGACUGCUGACCGUGGUCCGGGGUGUAGACAGGAUGACCGUACUAACAGUGGGGGCAGGGGACAGGGUGGGAGCUGAUGGAGGUGACAGGGAGGCCCUGAUGGGUGUGGAGGCGGCUGGGGAAGGGGGGCUGGUUGGCAGGGACGCUGUUUGUGACAUGGUCAGAGGUGCAGAGGGCGAGGGACUGUGUGGAGCUGAGCUGACGCUUGGGAUGCUGUGUGAAGUGGAGACUGCAGAAGGGGAAGGGGAAGACGAUAUCAAAGGAGAGGUGUUCGAGGACCCGUGAGGAGGAGGAGAGGAAACAGUGGGCAAGGAGGAGGGGAUUGGGACAGUGGAAGAAGAGGGGUAAUGGGGAAGAGUCGACACAGAAACAGAAGUGGUUAAAGGACUUUGGCUUGGGUUCAGAGAAGCUGGAGAAGACAAUGGAGAGCUGAAGCUAGAGCUUUGUAGUGGUGCUGUGCUGACUGAGCUCUGGGUUUGUGUGGUCCCUGUUGUGGUCUUUGUGAGUGGCAGGGUUGUGGGUGUGGUGCUCCCUAUUGUUGUUGUCAGCAGUGGGGAUAUGGAUGUGGGUGCCAUGGAUGUGACCGGGACGUGUGUCAAUGGCGUUGGGGUGCCAGUAGGCUUUGUGGUGGAGUAGGUAGCAUGGGACUCAGUUGGGGUGAUGACUUGGUGAGAGGUUGAAGUCACAGAUGUUGACACAUGGAUGGGAAGGGUCUCUGGAUGUGAUGGGGUGGAAUGGGUGGUGGUGGUCCGGAAGGAUGUUCCUGUUGGCAGAACUGUUGUGUGAGAGGUGGUGUGGACAGAAAAGGUGGCACUGGAGUGAGUGGUGAAUGGAGUGUGUGGCCCAGUGGGGGCAGCUGUUGUGUGUGUCACGGGUGUUCCAGUGCCUCUACUGGUAGAUGGAAGGGAGAUAGUACUGAGCAGUGGAGAAGUGCUUACAGGGAGGAUGGUUGAAGUAGAAUGUGAUAUUGGGGCUGUGGAGGUUGUUAUUGUGCUGACCAAGUUUUGGGCUUGAGUGGUCCCUGUUGUGGUCUUUGUCAGUGGUGGGACUGUAGGUGCAGUGGUCUUUGUCAGUGGUGUGGCUGUGGAUGUAGUGGUCUCUGUGGUGGUCUUUGUCAGUGGUGUGGCUAUAGGUGUGGUGGACCCUAUGGUGGUCUUUGUCAGUGGUGUGGCUGUGGUGGUUUCUGUUGUGGUCUUUGUCAGUGGUGUGGCUGUGGUGGUCUCUGCGGUGGUCUUUGUCAGUGGUGUGGCUGUGGUGGUCUCUGCGGUGGUCUUUGUCAGUGGUGUGGCUGUGGUGGUCUCUGUGGUGGUCUUUGUCAGUGGUGUGGCUGUGGGUGUGGUGGUCUCUAUCAGUGGUGUGGCUGUGGGUGUGGUGGUCUCUAUCAGUGGUGUGGCUGUGGGUGUGGUGGUCUCUGUCAGUGGUGUGGCUGUGGUGGUCUCUGUGGUGGUCUUUGUCAGUGGUGUGACUGUGGGUGUGGUGGUCUCUGUCAGUGGUGUGGCUCUGGGUGUGGUGGUUUCUGCUGUGGUGGUUGUCAGUGGUGUGCCUGUGGGUGUGAUGGUCUUUGUCAGUGGUGUGGCUGUAGUGGUGUCUGUGGUGGUCUUUGUCAGUGGUGGGGCUGUGGUGGGUUCUGUGGUAGUCUUUGUCAGUGGUGUGGCUGUGGUGGUCUCUGUGGUGGUCUUUGUCAGUGGUGUGACUGUGGGUGUGGUGGUCUCUGUCAGUGGUGUAGCUCUGGGUGUGGUGGUUUCUGCUGUGGUGGUUGUCAGUGGUGUGCCUGUGGGUGUGAUGGUCUUUGUCAGUGGUGUGGCUGUAGUGGUGUCUGUGGUGGUCUUUGUCAGUGGUGGGGCUGUGGUGGGUUCUGUGGUAGUCUUUGUCAGUGGUGUGGCUGUGGGUGUAGUGGUUUCUGUGGUGGUCUCUGUCAGUGGUGUGACUGUGGGUGUAGUGGUUUUUGUGCUGGUCUCUGUCAGUGGAGUGGCUGUGGAUGUGGUAGUUUUUCUGGUUGUCUUUGUCAGUGGUGUGCCUGUGGGUGUGGUGGUCUCUGUCAGUGGUGUGGCUGUGGAUGUGGUAGUUUUUCUGGUUGUCUUUGUCAGUGGUGUGGCUGUGGGUGUGGUGGUCUCUGUCAGUGGUGUGGCUGUGGGUGUGGUAGUCUCUGUCAGUGGAGUGGCUGUGGAUGUGGUAGUUUUUCUGGUUGUCUUUGUCAGUGGUGUGGCUGUGGGUGUGGUGGUCUCUGUCAGUGGUGUGGGUGUGGGUAUGGUGGUGGUUGUCAGUGGUGUGCCUGUUGGUGUGGUGGUUUCUAUGGUGGUCUUUGUCAGUGGUAUGGGUGUGGUGGUCUCUGUUGUGGUCAUUGUCAGUGGUGUGGCUGUGGGUGUGGUGGUCUCUGUCAUUGGUGUGGCUGUGCUGGUUUCUGUGGUGGUCUCUGUCAGUGCUGUGACUGUGGGUGUAGUGGUUUCUGUGGUGGUCUCUGUCAGUGAUGUGCCUGUGGGUGUAGUGGUUUCUAUGGUGGUCUCUGUCAGUGGUGUGACUGUGGGUGUGGUGGUUUCUGUGUUGGUCUUUGUCAGUGGUGUGGGUGUGGUGGUCUCUGUUGUGGUCAUUGUCAGUGGUGUGGCUGUGGGUGUGGUGGUCUCUGUUGUGGUCUCUGUCAGUGGUGUGGCUGUGGGUGUGGUGGUCUCUGUCAGUGGUGUGACUGUGGGUGUAGUGGUUUCUGUGGUGGUCUCUGUCAGUGGUGUGACUGUGGGUGUAUGGGUGGGUGUGGUGGUCUCUGUUGUGGUCUUUGUCAGUGGUGUGAUUGUGGGUGUGCUGGUUUCUGUGAGUGGUGUGGCUGUGGUGGUUUCUAUCAGUGGUGUGAUUGUGGGUGUAGUGGUUUUUGUGGUGGUCUUUGUCAGUGGUGUGGGUGUGGUGGUCUCUGUUGUGGUCUUUGUCAGUGGUGUGGCUGUGGGUGUGGUGGUCUUUGUCAGUGGUGUGACUGUGGGUGUGGUGAUCUUUGUCAGUGGUGUGGAUGUUGUGGUUUCUGUCAGUGGUGUGUCUGUGGGUGUGGUGCUCUCUAUUGUAGUCUCUGUCAGUGGUGUGACUGUGGGUAUGGUGGUGGUUGUCAGUGGUGUUCCUGUGGGUGUGGUGGUUUCUGUGGUGGUCUUUGUCAGUGGUGUGCCUGUGGGUGUGGUGGUCUCUGUUGUGGUCUCUGUCAGUGAUGUCACUGUGGGUGUAGUGGUUUUUGUGGUGGUCUUUGUCAGUGAUGUGACUGUGGAUGUGGUGGUUUCUGUCAGUGGUGUGGCUGUGGGUGUGGUGGUCUUUGUCAGUGGUGUGGCUGUGGGUGUGGUGGUCUCUGUCUGUGGUGUGGGUGUGGUGGUUUCUGUCAGUGGUGUGGGUGUGGUAGUCUUUGUCAGUGGUGUGACUGUGGGUGUGGUGGUCUCUGUUGUGGUCUCUGUCAGUGGUGUGACUGUGGGUGUGGUGGUUUCUGUCAGUGGUGUGACUGUGGGUGUGGUGGUCUCUGUUAUAGUCUCUGUCAGUUGUGUGACUGUGGGUGUAGUGGUUUUUGUGGUGGUCUUUGUCAGUGAUGUGACAGUGGAUGUGGUGGUUUCUGUCAGUGGUGUGGCUGUGGUGGUCUCUGUCAGUGGUGUGGCGGUGGGUGUGGUGGUUUCUGUGGUGGUCUCUGUCAGUGGUGUGGUGGUUGGUGUGGUGGUCUCUGUAAGUGGUGUGGCUGUGGGUGUGGUGGUCUUUGUCAGUAGUGUGACUGUGGGUGUGGUGGUCAUUGUCAGCGGUGUGGCUGUGGGUGUGGUGGUCUCUGUUGUGGUUGUUGUCAGUGAUGUGACUGUGGAUGUGGUGGUCUCUGUCAGUGGUGUGGCUGUGGGUGUGGUGGUCUUUGUCAGUAGUGUGACUGUGGGUGUGGUGGUCAUUGUCAGCGGUGUGGCUGUGGGUGUGGUGGUCUCUGUUGUGGUUGUUGUCAGUGAUGUGACUGUGGAUGUGGUGGUCUCUGUCAGUAGUGUGACUGUGGGUGUGGUGGUCAUUGUCAGCAGUGUGGCUGUGGGUGUGGUGGUCUCUGUUGUGGUUGUUGUCAGUGAUGUGACUGUGGAUGUGGUGGUCUCUGUCAGUGAUGUGACUGUGGGUGUGGUGGUCUUUGUCAGUGGUGUGGCUGUGGGUGUCAUGGUCUUUGUCAGUGGUGUGGCUGUGGGUGUUGUGGUCUUUGUCAGUAGUGUGACUGUGGGUGUGGUGGUCAUUGUCAGCGGUGUGGCUGUGGGUGUGGUGGUCUCUGUUGUGGUUGUUGUCAGUGAUGUGACUGUGGAUGUGGUGGUCUCUGUCAGUAGUGUGACUGUGGGUGUGGUGGUCAUUGUCAGCAGUGUGGCUGUGGGUGUGGUGGUCUCUGUUGUGGUUGUUGUCAGUGAUGUGACUGUGGAUGUGGUGGUCUCUGUCAGUGAUGUGACUGCGGGUGUGGUGGUCUUUGUCAGUGGUGUGGCUGUGGGUGUCAUGGUCUUUGUCAGUGGUGUGGCUGUGGGUGUGGUGAUCUCUGUCAGUGGUGUGGUGGUGGUGGUUUCUGUGGUGGUAUCUCUCAGUGGUGUGGCUGUGGGUGUGGUGGUCUCUGUCAGUGGUGUGACUGUGGUGGUUUCUGUGGUCGUCUCUGUCAGUGGUGUGGCUGUGGAUGUGGUCUUUGUCAUUGGUGUGGCUGUGGAUGUGGUUUCUGUCAGUGGUGUGGCUGUGGGUGUGGUGGUUUCUGUGGUGGUCUCUGUCAGUGGUGUGGUUGUGGUGGUUUCUGUGGUGGUCUCUGUCAGUGGUGUGGCUGUGGGUGUGGUGGUCUUUGUCAUUGGUGUGGCUGUGGAUGUGGUUUCUGUCAGUGGUGUGUCUGUGGGUGUGGUGGUCUCUGUUGUGGUCUUUGUCAGUGGUAUGACUGUGGGUGUGGUGGUCUUUGUCAGUGGUGUGGCUGUGGGUGUGGUGGUCUCUGUCAGUGGUGUGGCUGUGGGUGUGGUGGUCUCUGUCAGUGGCGUGGCUGUGGGUUUGGAGGUCCCUGUGGUGGUGGUUGUCAGUGGUGUGGCUGUGGGUGUGGUGGUCCCUGUGGUGGUUGUCAGUGGUGUGACUGUAGGUGUGGUGGUGGUUUUCAGUGGUGUGGCUCUGGGUGUGGUUGUCUCUGUCAGUGGCGUGGCUGUGGGUUUGGAGGUCCCUGUGGUGGUGGUUGUCUGUGGUGUGGCUGUGGGUGUGGUGGUCUCUGUCAGUGGUGUGGCUGUGGGUGUGGUGGUCUCUGUCAGUGGCGUGGCUGUGGGUUUGGAGGUCCCUGUGGUGGUGGUUGUCUGUGGUGUGGCUGUGGGUGUGGUGGUCUUUGUCAGUGGUGUGGCUGUGGGUGUCGUGGUCCCUGUGGUGGUGGUUGUCAGUGGUGUGACUGUAGGUGUGGUGGUGGUUUUCAGUGGUGUGGCUCUGGGUGUGGUUGUCUCUGUCAGUGGCGUGGCUGUGGGUUUGGAGGUCCCUGUGGUGGUGGUUGUCUGUGGUGUGGCUGUGGGUGUGGUGGUCUUUGUCAGUGGUGUGGCUGUGGGUGUCGUGGUCCCUGUGGUGGUGGUUGUCAGUGGUGUGACUGUAGGUGUGGUGGUGGUUUUCAGUGGUGUGGCUCUGGGUGUGGUUGUCUCUGUCAGUGGCGUGGCUGUGGGUUUGGAGGUCCCUGUGGUGGUGGUUGUCUGUGGUGUGGCUGUGGGUGUGGUGGUCUCUGUCAGUGGUGUGGCUGUGGGUGUGGUGGUCUCUGUCAGUGGCGUGGCUGUGGGUGUGGUGGUCCCUGUGGUGGUUGUCAGUGGUGUGACUGUAGGUGUGGUGGUGGUAGUCAGUGGUGUGGCUGUGGGUGUGAGCACUGUCUCUGUGACAGGGGUGUGUGUUGAUAGAGAAGGGGUGCCAGUUGUCUUUGUGGUGGAGAAGGUGGUGUGGGACUCGGUCGGGGUGAUAACCUGGUGAGAGGUUGGAGUCACUGAGGAGGUGGCCGAUGUUGACACGUGGACAGGAAGGGUCUCUGGAGGUGGUGGGGUUGGGUAGGCUGUGACUGUGGGUGUGGUGGUCUCUGUCAGUGGUGUGGCUGUGGGUGUGGCUGUGGGUGUGGUGGUUGUGGGUGGAGUUGAUGUCUGGGGUGUGGUGGGGACAGGGAGUGGAAGGGUGGUGCUGGAGUGGGUGAUGGGCAUGGCCGUGGAGGGAGGAGCCGGUGUGUUGGGGCUGGCGCUGCCCUCGGCCCCAGUGGUGGGGGCCGUUGGUCUCAGGCCCGUGUGUGCUGUGCUGGGCCCUGUGGUGCCCUCUGGCGGUCGUGGGGGCUCCGUGCGCUGUGUCUCCUGGCUGAUGGGAGUUUCGGGGGUCCAUCGAUGUGUUGAGGAUGCUGUUGAAAGCAGGGCGUCAUUUCACUCCCUCCCCCUCGUACCCUGCUUUGGGGUCG
ensembl:lncRNA